AGUGAACGCUGGCGGUAGGCCUAACACAUGCAAGUCGAACGGCAGCACAGUAAGAGCUUGCUCUUACGGGUGGCGAGUGGCGGACGGGUGAGGAAUACAUCGGAAUCUACUUUUUCGUGGGGGAUAACGUAGGGAAACUUACGCUAAUACCGCAUACGACCUACGGGUGAAAGCAGGGGAUCUUCGGACCUUGCGCGAUUGAAUGAGCCGAUGUCGGAUUAGCUAGUUGGCGGGGUAAAGGCCCACCAAGGCGACGAUCCGUAGCUGGUCUGAGAGGGUGAUCAGCCACACUGGACCUGAGACACGGUCCAGACUCCUACGGGAGGCAGCAGUGGGGAAUAUUGGACAAUGGGCGCAAGCCUGAUCCAGCCAUACCGCGUGGGUGAAGAAGGCCUUCGGGUUGUAAAGCCCUUUUGUUGGGAAAGAAAAGCAGCAGGUUAAUACCCCGCUGUUCUGACGGUACCCAAAGAAUAAGCACCGGCUAACUUCGU
rnacentral:rRNA from 1 species